rnacentral:rRNA from 1 species
CCUACGGGAGGCAGCAGUGGGGAAUUUUGCGCAAUGGGCGAAAGCCUGACCCAGCAACGCCGCGUGAGGGAAGAAGGUUUUCGGAUUGUAAACCUCUGUCCUCAGGGACGAAGAAAAUGACGGUACCUGAGGAGGAAGCCCCGGCUAACUACGUGCCAGCAGCCGCGGUAAU